rnacentral:rRNA from 1 species
UGGGGAAUUUUGGACAAUGGGGGAAACCCUGAUCCAGCCAUCCCGCGUGUGCGAUGAAGGCCUUCGGGUUGUAAAGCACUUUUGGCAGGAAAGAAACGUCAUGGGUUAAUACCCCGUGAAACUGACGGUACCUGCAGAAUAAGCACCGGCUAACUACGUGCCAGCAGCCGCGGUAAUACGUAGGGUGCAAGCGUUAAUCGGAAUUACUGGGCGUAAAGCGUGCGCAGGCGGUUCGGAAAGAAAGAUGUGAAAUCCCAGAGCUCAACUUUGGAACUGCAUUUUUAACUACCGGGCUAGAGUGUGUCAGAGGGAGGUGGAAUUCCGCGUGUAGCAGUGAAAUGCGUAGAUAUGCGGAGGAACACCGAUGGCGAAGGCAGACUCCUGGGAUAACACUGACGCUCAUGCACGAAAGCGUGGGGAGCAAACAGG